rnacentral:rRNA from 1 species
UUAAUAGAUAUAGUUUGAAAAAUUAAAUGUCUGUUUUUGAAAUUGUUAAUUUAUUGUAAUUGAAGUAUCAUUAGUUUUUAGUAAUUUUAUUGAAAAAAUAAUAAUUUGAUAUAGAGGAUUAAGUAUUGUGAAAGAAAGUUUUUAUUAAAAAUGAAGAAGAAAUAGUGUUUUGUACCUUGUGUAUCAGGGUUAACUAAAAAUAUAUUAAAAUUUUAAUUUUCUCGAAUUUGAAAGAGUUAUCUUAUUUGUGAUUUUUAUUGUGGCAAAAAUAUUAUUAACAAUAAGAUAGGGGUGAAACGUUAUUCGAUUUCUAAUAUAUCUAGUUUUUUAAGAAAAAAAUUUAAUUUUCUUUUGUUUUAAUAUUUUUCUAAAUUUUUAGUUUGAUAUUAGAUAAAAGAAAUAAUUCAGGGGUUGAGCUUUGAAUUAAAUUUAUAUAGUUAGAUUGAUUUUAUAAAUAAAUAUGUAGGAUUUAAAGUUUCUUUAUUUAGUGAUUUAUAUCUUAAUUGUUUAAAAGAUAAGAUUUGUUAAAUUUGCUUAUGUUUUCUAUUAAAAUUUAAAUUUUAAUAUUUAUGAUUUAGAAAAAAUGGUUAAAUUAGUACAGUUAAAUUUAUUUUUAGAAAUAAUUUUAAGGUUUAGUUAAAGAACUCGGCAAAUAUAUUUCCCACCUGUUUAUUAAAAACAUGGCCUUUUGAUUAUAAUUUAAGGUCUGGCCUGCCCAAUGAUUUAAUUUUAAAUGGCCGCGGUAUACUGACCGUGCAAAGGUAGCAUAAUCAUUAGUUUUUUAAUUGAAAGCUUGUAUGAAAGGUUUGAUGAGGAAAUUUCUGUUUCGAUUAGAAUUUUUUGGAAUUUUAUUAUUUUGUAAGAAGGCAAAAAUGUUUAUAAAAGACGAGAAGACCCUAUAGAGUUUUAUAAUUUAUUUAGAAAGGGUUAUUAGAAUUUUUUUCUUUAUUUAUUUAAAUUAUUUGGUUGGGGUGAUUGAAUAAUUUAUUAAACUUUUUUUUAUUUAUACCAUUGAUAAGUGAAUAAUUGAUCCUUGUUAAAGAUUAAAAGAAAAAAUUACCUUAGGGAUAACAGCGUUAUUUUUCUAGAGAGUUCUUAUCGAAAGAAGAGUUUGCGACCUCGAUGUUGGAUUAAAAUUUAGGCUUGGUGUAGAGGCUAGGCUUUUAGGUCUGUUCGACCUUUAAAAUUUUACAUGAUCUGAGUUUAGACCGGCGUGAGCCAGGUUGGUUUCUAUCUUUAUAAAAUUAAAAUUUUUUAGUACGAAAGGACCAAAAAUUUACUAAAUUAGUUAUUUAUUGAAUACUAUUACUACUUUGACAGAGAAGUGUGAUAGAUUUAGAAUCUUUUUAUAUAGUUUAUUUAACUAUA